CCCUGGUAGUCCGCACGGUAAACGAUGGAUGCCCGCUUUUCGGUCAUAGGACCGUGAGGNCCAAGUGAAAACAUUAAGCAUCCCACCUGGGGAGUACGCCGGCAACGGUGAAACUCAAAGGAAUUGACGGGGGCCCGCACAAGCGGAGGAACAUGUGGUUUAAUUCGAUGAUACGCGAGGAGCCCUACCCGGGCUUGAAUUGCAGAUGAAGGAUCCAGAGAUGGUGACGNCCUUCGGGGCAUCUGUGAAGGUGCUGCAUGGUUGUCGUCAGCUCGUGCCGUGAGGUGUCGGCUCAAGUGCCAUAACGAGCGCAACCCCUCUCUUCAGUUGCCAUCAGGUAAAGCUGGGCACUCUGGAGACACUGCCACCGCAAGGUGUGAGGAAGGUGGGGAUGACGUCAAAUCAGCACGGCCCUUACGUCCGGGGCUACACACGUGUUACAAUGGGGGGUACAGCAAGCCGGCUGCCCGCAAGGUCAGUCCAAUCAAGAAAGCCCUCCUCAGUUCGGACUGGGGUCUGCAACCCGACCCCACGAAGCUGGAUUCGCUAGUAAUCGCGCAUCAGCCAUGGCGCGGUGAAUACGUUCCCGGGCCUUGUACACACCGCCCGUCAAGCCAUGAAAGCCGGGGGUGCCUGAAGUCCGUGACCGCAAGGAUCGGCCUAGGGCAAAACUGGUAAUUGGGGCUAAGUCGUAACAAGGUAG
rnacentral:rRNA from 1 species